rnacentral:rRNA from 1 species
GACGAACGCUGGCGGCGUGCUUAACACAUGCAAGUCGAACGGAAAGGCCCUGCUUUUGUGGGGUGCUCGAGUGGCGAACGGGUGAGUAACACGUGAGUAACCUGCCCUUGACUUUGGGAUAACUUCAGGAAACUGGGGCUAAUACCGGAUAGGAGCUCCUGCUGCAUGGUGGGGGUUGGAAAGUUUCGGCGGUUGGGGAUGGACUCGCGGCUUAUCAGCUUGUUGGUGGGGUAGUGGCUUACCAAGGCUUUGACGGGUAGCCGGCCUGAGAGGGUGACCGGCCACAUUGGGACUGGGAUACGGCCCAGACUCCUACGGGAGGCAGCAGUGGGGAAUAUUGCACAAUGGGCGGAGGCCUGAUGCAGCAACGCCGCGUGCGGGAUGACGGCCUUCGGGUUGUAAACCGCUUUCGCCUGUGACGAAGCGUGAGUGACGGUAAUGGGUAAAGAAGCACCGGCUAACUACGU